AGAUUCAGAGCCUCGUUUUAAAUUGAAAGGCCGAAGUUCACCUCGUGUUUCCUGGCGGUGAUUUUCAGCAAACAAUAAAAUUGUUGCUUAAAAGCAGGGUCAAGGUCCAUGAGAUGGAAAGCUCAAAAUAGGAAUGUUUGUUUCAAACCUCUUGAUAUGAAUUGAAUGUUAUUAUUCCCCCCCCAAGUCUAUACUGGGGCUCAUAUUGUGGUGAAAAUCAACUAUGGAUACAGUGCGACCAAUGUGACGGAUGGGUACAUGCAGGUUGCCUAACGGAACGUGUGGAUGAAGAUGAGCCUUUCACCUGUCCAGAUUGCGUUUAGAAAAACCAGAUGAUUCCAUGGUUUUGGCACCAACAAAAAAGGAAAUGGUAUUAAGAAACUCUGUUAUUAAGGGAUACCAUUUUUUCCAAAUAAGACCACCCAAUACCACACCCCCUACUCAGUUACUAGUCCAGCCAGAAUACACUAACAUUCAUGAUGAGUGUGCCAGUUUGGUAUGGUUACCAGAAUUAGAUACUUUUCCAGACCAUAUGCAUUCACUUAUUACGGAUGAAAAGAGGCAGCUAAAACUUCGAGAUGUGGCCGGUCUACCCAUUGGCCAUGUCCCAAGAAAUUUGGCAGGAUUCUUCCGGCCUUUAAUGGAGAGUGGACGCAUUGUAGCAGUGGUGACUGGAGAACCUGUCCCAAGCUUUCCUCCUUGGCCUGCACUAAAGGAAGAAGGAGGGGGUGUAGUGCUUCCAUGUAAUUACAUUAUCACACAUUCUGAUAUUGAGGCACAAUAUAAUAAACUUUCAGAACUGCUCAAAAGUAUCCCUGAAGGGACGGCCAUGGAACUUGUUCUGCUGUAGCUACU